CCAGAAGAGCCACCAGUUUCAUACGAAGGUAAACAGAUCCAACGUCUAGUUCCUACCGGUCCAAAUCCAGAAGAGCCACCAGUUUCAUACGAAGGUAAACAGAUCCAACGUCUAGUUCCUACCGGUCCAAAUCCAGAAGAGCCACCAGUUUCAUACGAAGGAACGAAAGAUAAGCAGAUACAACGUCUAGUUCCUACUGGUCCAAAUCCAGAAGAACCACCAGCUUCGUUCUAAGAAAUUAGACAUAUAGAUACAACGUCAAGUUUCAAUGUCUUUAAAUAAUGAAGAAU
rnacentral:lncRNA from 1 species